AUAUGUAAAAGUCAGCCAGUUGAACAGAGGCAUGGGAGUUCAGAGUGUUUUGGGCAGAAGAAAUAGCAUGAUUUUAUCUGAACACUGGACUUGAGAGAAGGACACUGGUGACUAUGAGACCAAGUUGGAAGGCUGUUAAGGGGCUACAGGAAACAACAAAAAGCUAGGGACUGCCAGUUCUGUUCACACAGGUAUGUGAUAACUGCUCAAGAUAUGUUUGCUAACU